rnacentral:rRNA from 1 species
UUUGGAGAGUUUGAUCCUGGCUCAGAUUGAACGCUGGCGGCAGGCCUAACACAUGCAAGUCGAGCGGAAACGAGUUAUCUGAACCUUCGGGGAACGAUAACGGCGUCGAGCGGCGGACGGGUGAGUAAUGCCUAGGAAAUUGCCCUGAUGUGGGGGAUAACCAUUGGAAACGAUGGCUAAUACCGCAUAAUGCCUACGGGCCAAAGAGGGGGACCUUCGGGCCUCUCGCGUCAGGAUAUGCCUAGGUGGGAUUAGCUAGUUGGUGAGGUAAUGGCUCACCAAGGCGACGAUCCCUAGCUGGUCUGAGAGGAUGAUCAGCCACACUGGAACUGAGACACGGUCCAGACUCCUACGGGAGGCAGCAGUGGGGAAUAUUGCACAAUGGGCGCAAGCCUGAUGCAGCCAUGCCGCGUGUGUGAAGAAGGCCUUCGGGUUGUAAAGCACUUUCAGUCGUGAGGAAGGUGGUNGNGUUAAUAGC